AGAGUUUGAUCCUGGCUCAGGAUGAACGCUAGCGGGAGGCUUAACACAUGCAAGUCGAGGGGCAACACGAGGUAGCAAUACUUUGGUGGCGACCGGCGCACGGGUGAGUAACACGUAUGUAACCUACCCUGUACAGGGGGAUAACCCGGAGAAAUUCGGACUAAUACCCCAUAAAGAUAUUUGGUGGCAUCAUUGAAUAUUUAAAGCUCAGGCGGUACGGGAUGGGCAUGCGGAACAUUAGCUAGUUGGCAGGGUAACGGCCUACCAAGGCUACGAUGUUUAGGGGUCCUGAGAGGGUGAUCCCCCACACUGGUACUGAGACACGGACCAGACUCCUACGGGAGGCAGCAGUGAGGAAUAUUGGUCAAUGGGCGCAAGCCUGAACCAGCCAUCCCGCGCGUGCAGGAACACGGCCCUAUGGGUAAACUGCUUUUCCAGGGGGUGAAUUGCCAUGACGUGUCG
rnacentral:rRNA from 1 species